AUUUACAUAGUUUAAAAAAAACAUUACAUUUUCACUGUAAAAAUGAAUUCAUAUUUCUAUAAAUA
rnacentral:tRNA from 1 species